rnacentral:rRNA from 1 species
GGAAGGUCCGGGCGUUAUCCGGAUUUAUUGGGUUUAAAGGGAGCGCAGGCCGGGUAUUAAGCGUGUUGUGAAAUGUAGGCGCCCAACGUCUGCACCGCAGCGCGAACUGGUGCCCUUGAGUACGCACGACGUUGGCGGAAUUCGCCGUGUAGCGGUGAAAUGCUUAGAUAUGGCGAAGAACUCCGAUUGCGAAGGCAGCUGACGGGAGCGCUACUGACGCUCAUGCUCGAAAGCGCGGGUAUCGAACAGGAUUAGAUACCCUGGUAGUCCGCGCGGUAAACGAUGGAUGCCCGCUAUCUGCGCAUUGGCGCAAGUGGCCAAGUGAAAACGUUAAGCAUCCCACCUGGGGAGU